rnacentral:lncRNA from 1 species
CGCGAGCGGUGGAGUAAGAGGGAAGGUAGGAGCAGGUAAAGGAGGAGGAGGAAGAAGAAGGGUUGGAGAGGGAGAGGGUGUGGUGGGAGGAGGAGAGGUAGGUGGAGUCGGGGACGAAGGAACGAGGAGGGGCGUCGUGGGAGAGAGUGGUGGAGGAGGAGGCGCCGCAGGAGAGGAAGAGGAAGGAGGAAUUUGGGGUGAUUGAGGAGGAGAAGGGGAGGAGAGAGAAUACUAAGAGCCCUACGAAGAGCACAAGUGACUCCAUUAGAGAGGAUGAGAGAGAGCGAGAGAGAGAUAUCAGAGGGGUAUAUAAUAACGGAGGUAGGGGGAGGAAGAGUGUGAGUGGGGAGGGAUAAAGAAGAGAGCAGUGAGUGGCUGUGGCCAUGUGGGGUGGUGAGUGGACCGUAAUGUAUGAUUGAUUGACUUGUGACUGUACUAACAAUGAUUAAUAUAAAAUAAAAAAAUUUUAAAAUGUAAAGAAUAUAUCGAUGACAUUGCGUAACAAAUUAAUCAAAUAUUUUUUUUAGAGAUAUAUAUUUUAUUAUGAUUGUAAAAAAAAAAUUUAUUAUAUUUUUAUUUGAAAAAAAAAAUAUAAUUAUUUUGUUAUUGAUGACAAGGUGCAAAUAUUACAAUGCAUUUCUCAAAAUUUCUCGUAAAAUGGGAGAUCAAAUUGCCUACGCCCUUGCAUGUAUCCAACACAGGAGAUGGCCCAAUCGGAGAGUGUCACGCGGCAUUCCCCACGGAGUCACAUCAAUAUUAAUUUGCGCAAUGGUAUUCCAUAGAUCCGAUACGAGAAAGAUUAAUAAUAAUGAAUUGGGCUGUUAUACUAUUAAUAAUAAUUAAAAUUUAAUUUUUAAUUUUUAAAUAAAAAAUUAUAAAAUUAGAACGAUAGUCAUUUUUUAGAAUUUAGUAAUAAUUUGUUGGCGUUAAGUGGGUAGUUGGUUAAAUAAUACGAUUUAAAAGAUAAAAUUAAUUAAAAUAUAGAUCUAACGAUUAAAAAAAUUAAUAGUAAAAAUUUAAAUACUAUUAAUAAUAUUCCAGCUCAAUACUAAUAACAAUUAAUAAUAUAUAAUCAAUGAAAAUAUUUUUGUUUGAAAGAAAAAAUAUUACGAUUUUUUUUAUAAACUAUGAUAUGAUAUCUAUCUAUUACUAUAUACUAAAGUAGAACCCUUAAUGAACUCUAUGUGAAAAGCUGACACGUGGCGCUUUAUAUGUUUGCCACGUGUCAAACUCAAAUAUAGAUUUUUUAUUUUUUUAAAAAAAAAUUAGAUUUUUUAAGAAAAUAAUAUUUUUUACUCUAUAGAAAAUCUACGCUUAGGGAAUAUUUCAAAUCUACGCUUAGGGCCUGUUUGUUUCGAGGGAAGUGGGGUGGAAGUGGGACGGGGGAAGUGAUUUUCGGUGAAAACUGAUCACUUCCGUUGUUUGGUUCACCGUAAUUUUAUUACGCCCGAAAGUCUAGUUCACCUAAAAUAAUGAACUUGACUUCGCCCUCCCAUUGGGCGAAGUCAAUUCCGGUGAAGUGAAAAAAAGGCAAGAAUGGAUUAAUGUGUUAGGGUUACCUCUUCUAAAAUAUGAUCAAAUUUGAUUAGGUAAGCUUUAAUAUAUUUUUUGUUUAAUUUGUAUAUUUAGAAAAUGGUGAAAAAUGAAUUUGUUAAAUGUUAAUAAUUUUUUAACUUUAGAAUUUUAUUUGUUGCAUUAUUAUAAUUUAUAUGCAAACAAAUAAUAUAAUUUUUUAAAAUUUUAUUUUAUAAUUAUACAUAUAUAUAAUUAUAUACAUAUAUAAUUAUAUUAAUUUUUAUUUAUUAUAAUUUAUUAUUCACUAUAAGUUACCAAAAUAGACAAUAAAUCACUUUAAAGGUAAAUAUACGGGGGUGAGAGCUACACUUUUACGCAUCUAACUUCCUACCAAACAAACAACAGAAUCGCAGAACUGCAUUCCGCAGUUAGAAACAAACAGCAGAAGUGAACUAAUUUCAUCCCAACUCCACUUCAACUACAAAGUCCAUUCCACCCCAAGUCUACUUACGUUAAACAAACAUGCCCUUAGGGAAUAUUUCAAAGCCACCUAUAUUUAUGUGCCGGAUAUUUACUACUUUAAGAAAAUAUUGACUACUUUAAAGAAAAAUAAAAUUAAAUUUUUAAAAGGAAAUAGUAUCUUUUCCAAGAGUCCGCUACGGUACUUGUAAAAGUACAAAGCACUUAGUUCUUUAAAUUUUUUACCGUUAGACUCUACACUUUGAUUGAUCAUUUUACCCGUUAGAUUAUAUACUAUUCACCAACUACCACUCAACCCUAAGGGCCACAUCAUCUUAAACCGCACAUCUCCUUAAUCCAAGGGCCGAAAACUUACAAGUACCAAUGACUUGGUACUUUAAAAGCAUAGGACCGCUCAAUUCUUUUUACAAUAUUAAUUAAAAAAUCACCUUAUAAUGAAUGAGGUGAUUUUAUUUCAAAGUCACCUAUAAUUAUUGUUGAGAUAUUUGAGAAAUUCCACGCGAAAUGAAUUGGCGGGUGCGGAUAUUAUUGUUUUAGAAAAAUAAUCACGUGUCAAUUCAAAUAUAAUAUUUAUUUUAGAAAAGAUAGAAAAUAGGACUAUAAAUGCGGGUAAUAUUGUCACAAAAAUUAACAGAUAUUUUUAUUUUCAAUCAUUAGAUACAUCUAAUGGUAAAAAAUUAAUAUCUUUUGCUAUAUUAUAAAAUCACCUAUAAUGAAGGAAAAAUUUCCAAAGUCACCUAUAAUUAUGUUGAGAUAUUUAAAAAAUUCACCGGAUAUUAUGUGGCAAAAAAAUUGAAAGUGGCAAUAAUUAUUGCGUGACGAAGAAAAAAUAUUACUUUUUAUUUGGGAAUAAAUUACUACUUAGUUAAUUAUUUAAAUGAUUGGUGAAAAUUCUGGACAUAAAAAUAUUAGUAAAAAAGAUAGAGACAUUUUGAAAGAGAAAAAAUUCAAAACUCACGGUUUUUAUAAAAAAAUUAAUAUCUUUACUAUAUUAUUAAAAAUCACAUACAAUGAAGAAAAUUUUAUUUCAAAGUCACCUAUAAUUAUGUUGAGAUAUUUUGAAAAAUUUAUGGAUAUUAUGUUGCGAAAGAAAUUGGCGGUGCGGAUAUUACGCGUGAGAAGGAAAAUAUUUAUAUUAUUUGGAAUAAAUUAUUACUUAGUUAAUUAUUUAAAUGAUUGGUUGAAAAUUUUUGGACAUAAAAAUAUUAGUAAAAAAAUAGAACAUUUUUGGAAAGAAAAAAAAUAUUUAAAACUCACAUCACUCGUCUAAUUUUCUUCCUCUUAAAUAUUGAUGCUUAAUAGAACAUAUUAUUUCCAUACUGUCACUUCUGUAAUUUUUCAUUUCGUAAUUUUUUUCCUUAUGUCACUCAUGUAACUUCAUCUUCAUGGCAAUAAAGUUUUUUUUCUUUAUAUUUUCUUGAAAACUAAACAUCUAUAUAUUUUUGAAUUUUAAAAGCGACAGUAAGAACAUAAUAAUGUGUACUACUCCUAAUUUGCUGUCAAAUAUGAAAGUUUAGUUGAUCUCAUUUAAUGCCUUAAAUAUUAAUGUCAUUUGUAAUUUUUCAUAUCAAUUUUAGUUAUUAUAUUUAUUUCGCACAUCAAUAUGAAAGUAAAUUAUUUUGCAUACGAAUUCGUAGAUAAAUAGAGCAGGAAUUGAAUUUUGCAUUUUAGUUGAAUAUUUACUUUGUCGCAAAUUUUUUUCUCUAACUGUGUACUUUAAUAUGUACUAUAAUUAAGAUUGAUAGUACAUUUUUUUUAUUUGUUAAAAAAUAUAAAUUAAUUAAAAAAUCUUUUAUUAUCAUCACAUAUAUUUAUAUUCUAUCUAUAGAUUAUAUUUNNNNNNNNNNNNNNNNNNNNNNNNNCCAGGUGAGCUCCGCGGCCGCGACUUGCUCGAUUAGGCUCACGGAAUUCAGCGUCCCGGCGUGUACGGCGACCACGACGAGACGGCGUCGUCUUCGCUUUUCGGCGCGGACAGUGAGCCGGUACCUUGCCGCAGACAAAAAUGGCCGCGCCGGAGAAUUAUGGCGACGGCGACGACGGUGAGACACGAGGCAAGGAUACCGUCGUACGGAAUCUAUGUCGUUGUUUCGCCGCCCGAGUUGUUACACCUUGAAAAUCUCUAACCCGUUGAGGAAAGAUUGCGAAUUGUGCUCAGCGGCGACAUGCGCGAGCUGAGUUGAGGCUCUCCCGUCGGCGUCGACUACGAAGUCGGACGAAAGCCUCGGCGAGUUGAUUGGUGAAGUCGCUGGGGUUGAGAAUUGGAUACGCCGAGAGCCCAUGACGUACACGUGUGAAUUUGAGGCCGGAGUUGAGCGACGCGUCAGCGUCGGCGAGAUGACGGUCGCAGAAGUGGCCCGGACGAGGUAAGCUGACCCGGAUCGACGGGGAAGUCCACGUUAAGUUGGCGUUCUGAAGUCGGGUUCGAAUCAGGCAGCAGCGGCCGACACGGCCACGGUGCGGGCCGUGUCGUAGACGCUCGCGCGGGGCGAUCGCCGGGAGUGCGCCCCGCGCGGCGUCGUAGACGACGUUACCAGCGGGGUGGGAGUUGACUAGGAGAGGUCGGGGUCGAAGAGGAAGGGUUCGGUCGGGGACCCACGUCCGCCACAGGGUGUCGUUGGCGCGGGGUGACCUCGGGGCCGCCGACGUUGACCCGGUGAGGGUUCGCAGGCUGCGCUCGAGAGUGGACGGAGGAGCGGCGCGGCGCCGACCGGGGUGGGGAGGGGGUCGGAGAGGAGCUCGGUGGGAUGGGAAGAGCUCGACGCGGAGACGAAGGCGAGGAGGAGGGGGGAGGGGGAGAAGGAGAGGGCGAGGAGGGUGGCGCGGCGGGGAGGAGGAACUCGCGAUGGUGAGGUUGGAGGGGGGGAGAAGGAGGAGAGGAGGGCGAACGCGGUCGAGGCGGAGAACGUCGAAGAGGGGAGGGAGAGGUUGGGGAGGGGAGGGGAAGGGGAGAAGUGGAGGCGGAGGACGUAAGAGCCGGGGGAUGGAGACGGGGAGGUUGUGGAGAAGGGGAGGUGGAAGCGAGCGGUGAGUAGAGAGGUGGGAGGAGGAGGAGGAGGAGGAGGAGGAAGAAGAAGGGUUGGAGAGGGAGAGGGUGUGGUGGGAGGAGGAGAGGUAGGUGGAGUCGGGGACGAAGGAACGAGGAGGGGCGUCGUGGGAGAGAGUGGUGGAGGAGGAGGCGCCGCAGGAGAGGAAGAGGAAGGAGGAAUUUGGGGUGAUUGAGGAGGAGAAGGGGAGGAGAGAGAAUACUAAGAGCCCUACGAAGAGCACAAGUGACUCCAUUAGAGAGGAUAAGAGAGAGAGAGAGAGAGAGAGAUAUCAGAGGGGUAUAUAAUAAUGGAGGUAGGGG